rnacentral:tRNA from 1 species
GUGAGCGUGCCGGAGUGGUUAUCGGGCAUGGCUGCUCUGCCCGCGCAGGUUCGAAUCCUGCCGCUCACG